rnacentral:rRNA from 1 species
CCUGACGGUGCACGCCGCGUGAACGAUGAAGGUUUUCGGAUCGUAAAGUUCUGUUAUGAGGGAAGAACAAGUGCCGUUCGAAUAGGUCGGCACCUUGACGGUACCUCACGAGAAAGCCCCGGCUAACUACGUGCCAGCAGCCGCGGUAAUACGUAGGGGGCAAGCGUUGUCCGGAAUUAUUGGGCGUAAAGCGCGCGCAGGCGGUCUCUUAAGUCUGAUGUGAAAGCCCACGGCUCAACCGUGGAGGGUCAUUGGAAACUGGGGGACUUGAGUGUAGGAGAGGAAAGUGGAAUUCCACGUGUAGCGGUGAAAUGCGUAGAUAUGUGGAGGAACACCAGUGGCGAAGGCGACUUUCUGGCCUACAACUGACGCUGAGGCGCGAAAGCGUGGGGAGCAAACAGGAUUAGAUACCCUGGUAGUCCACGCCGUAAACGAUGAGUGCUAGGUGUUAGGGGUUUCGAUACCCUUAGUGCCGAAGUUAACACAUUAAGCACUCCGCCUGGGGAGUACGGCCGCAAGGCUGAAACUCAAAGGAAUUGACGGGGGCCCGCACAAGCAGUGGAGCAUGUGGUUUAAUUCGAAGCAACGCGAAGAACCUUACCAGGUCUUGACAUCCUCUGACACCUCUGGAGACAGAGC